rnacentral:rRNA from 1 species
AUGAGAGGUUUUACAAGUGCCGCAAUCACAAUCCGGGUAGAGGUGGCUGAGCUUGGACCGGCGGCACCUCCGUUGGCGCAAAUCAAUCCAGGAGAGAACGAGGUAGCUGCAGCAAAUCAAGGUGGUCAGAUGCAGCCGGCGGACGGCACGGUGGGGCAGCAGAACGGGGCACCGGAUGGAUCGCAGAUGCUGUCCGCGGCUAGUGGCGUUGUUGGAUCUCAGCUCCGCGCGGGGGAUGUUGGUCGGCGUCAGGCAUCCUUCACUCUCGAUGCUGCAUCUAUCAAUCUGGUGGUGUCUGUUGGGAAUAUGGCCAUCUGCCUCGCCAUCCUUGUACUGGUAGUGUCUUCCACCGUGAUGCGUGCGUUUGAUUAA